rnacentral:rRNA from 1 species
GAUGAACGCUGGCGGCGUGCCUAAUACAUGCAAGUCGAGCGAACGGACGAGGAGCUUGCUUCUCUGUUGUUAGCGGCGGACGGGUGAGUAACACGUGGAUAAUCUACCUAUAUGACUGGGAUCAUUUCGGGAAACCGUAGCUAAUACCGGAUAAUCUUUUGAUCCGCAUGGUUCAAAAGUGAAAGACGGUCUUGCUGUCACUUAUAGAUGGUUCUGGGCUGCUUUGGCUAGUUGGUAAGGUCACGGCUUUCCACGGCAAGGAUGCAUAGCCGACGUGCGAGAGUGAUCGCCCACCCGAGAACGGAAGCACGCUCAUUGCUCCUGCGGUAGGCAGCAGAAGGGAAUCUGCCGCAGUAGGCGAGAGCCUGACAGAACGACGCCGCGUGAGUGAUAGAAGUCCUCCGUGCGUAAAACUGGGUUACUAGUGAUGAACAGAUGUCGAAGUAGCUGUGCACAGCGUGACGGUACCGAAUCAGAAAGCCACGGCUAACUACGUG